rnacentral:lncRNA from 1 species
CACGAAACUCAAACAGAGAAAAACACACAACUAAACCAGAUUAAGACAUAAAAGGAAAAAAAUUAUGAACAACGCGGAAGCAAAUGAAGAGAAAAAGCACAAGAUACUCAAUAUACUCAUAAUCAAAUGAAACAAAUACAAAACCUAAUCAAGAAACAUGAAACAGAAUCAAAGAAGACGCGAAUCAAAAUAGAACACGAAACAUAAACCUAAGAACA